ACACCGGCAGCUCAAGUGGUAGCCGCUUUUAUUGGGCCUAAAGCGUCCGUAGCCGGUCUGAUAAGUCUCUGGUGAAAUCCCACAGCUUAACUGUGGGAAUUGCUGGAGAUACUAUCAUGACUCGAGGUCGGGAGAGGCUGGAGGUACUCCCAGGGUAGGGGUGAAAUCCUGUAAUCCUGGGAGGACCCCCUGUGGCGAAGGCGUCCAGCUGGAACGAACCUGACGGUGAGGGACGAAAGCCAGGGGCGCGAACCGGAUUAGAUACCCGGGUAGUCCUGGCCGUAAACGAUGUGGACUUGGUGUUGGGAUGGCUUCGAGCUGCCCCAGUGCCGAAGGGAAGCUGUUAAGUCCACCGCCUGGGAAGUACGGCCGCAAGGCUGAAACUUAAAGGAAUUGACGGGG
rnacentral:rRNA from 1 species